rnacentral:rRNA from 1 species
GACGAACGCUGGCGGCGUGCCUAAUACAUGCAAGUUGAGCGAUGAAGCUUGGUGCUUGCACCAAUUUGAAGAGCAGCGAACGGGUGAGUAACGCGUGGGGAAUCUGCCUUUGAGCGGGGGACAACAUUUGGAAACGAAUGCUAAUACCGCAUAACAACUUUAAACAUAAGUUUUAAGUUUGAAAGAUGCAAUUGCAUCACUCAAAGAUGAUCCCGCGUUGUAUUAGCUAGUUGGUGAGGUAAAGGCUCACCAAGGCGAUGAUACAUAGCCGACCUGAGAGGGUGAUCGGCCACAUUGGGACUGAGACACGGCCCAAACUCCUACGGGAGGCAGCAGUAGGGAAUCUUCGGCAAUGGACGAAAGUCUGACCGAGCAACGCCGCGGGAGUGAAGAAGGUUUUCGGAUCGUAAAACUCUGUUGGUAGAGAAGAACGUUGGUGAGAGUGGAAAGCUCAUCAAGUGACGGUAACUACCCAGAAAGGGACGGCUAACUACGCG